ACAAGCGGUGGAGUAUGUGGUUUAAUUCGAUGCAACGCGAAGAACCUUACCUGGUCUUGACAUCCCGGAGACCCUUAGGAAACUAGGGGGUGCUUCCAUCUGGAAGAAAUCUGGAGACAGGUGCUGCAUGGCUGUCGUCAGCUCGUGUCGUGAGAUGUUGGGUUAAGUCCCGCAACGAGCGCAACCCUUGCCUUUAGUUGCCAGCAGUUCGGCUGGGCACUCUAAAGGGACUGCCGGUGUUAAACCGGAGGAAGGUGGGGAUGACGUCAAGUCCUCAUGGCCUUUAUGACCAGGGCUACACACGUACUACAAUGGCCGAUACAAAGGGCAGCGACACUGCGAGGUGAAGCCAAUCCCGUAAAAUCGGUCUCAGUCCGGAUUGGAGUCUGCAACUCGACUCCAUGAAGUUGGAAUCGCUAGUAAUCGUGGAUCAGCAUGCCACGGUGAAUACGUUCCCGGGCCUU
rnacentral:rRNA from 1 species